rnacentral:rRNA from 1 species
UACAGAGGGUGCGAGCGUUGUCCGGAAUCACUGGGCGUAAAGGGCGCGUAGGUGGUGGCUUAAGCGUGCGGUGAAAGCUCGGAGCUCAACUCCGAGUCGGCCGUGCGAACUGGGCUCACUGGAGCAUAGUAGAGGCAGGUGGAAUUCCGGGUGUAGCGGUGGAAUGCGUAGAGAUCCGGAAGAACACCGGUGGCGAAGGCGGCCUGCUGGGCUAUGGCUGACACUGAGGCGCGACAGCGUGGGGGAGCAAACAGG